CUUCUAGGUAUCUGAAGAUGUUGAAGACCAUUUCCUGGAACAACAGAGGUAAAUGCCCAGAGGAUGAGAACAUGUAGCCAUUAGGAGAGCCUGAAAGUUCAGUGUGACAGAAAGAUGAAGUUCAAGAGAAGGGACAAACUGCAGAACACAAGCUGGAGAGUUUUAGAGAGACUGUGGAAUGGAAUGACUUUCCGGAACUGCAGAUUGAAGGUGUAUUUUCAUCUGACUUUG
rnacentral:lncRNA from 1 species